rnacentral:lncRNA from 1 species
CGGGGUGUGCUGCGCAUGCUCAGCAGCGGCGUUGAGGGUCCCGGCUGGGCCCGGUGUCAGCCCUGCCUCUGUAACGCUAGCUUUGCAAGGCGGGGCUAGGCUUUGCACCGGUGUCCCGUUGCUUGCACAGCACCAGUCCAGAUCCGCUCACCUCCUUUUUUUUUUUUUUUUUUUGAGAUGGAGCCUCGCUCUGUCACCCAGGCUGGUGUCGCAAUCUUGGCUCACUGCAACCUCCGCCUCCUGGAUUCAAGUGAUUCUCCUGCCUCAGCCUCCCGAGUAGCUGGGAUCACAGGCGUGCACCACCAUGCCUGGCUAAUUUUUGUAUUUUUAGUAGAGAUGGGGUUUCACCAUGUUGGACAGGCUGGUCUUGAACCCCUGACCUCAGGUGAUCUGCCCGCCUCGGCCUCCCAAAGUGCCGGGAUUGUAGGUGUGAGCCACAGUGCCCAGCUCCAUCUCUCUUAUAAGGCCACUAAUCCUAUAAAUGAGGGCUUGCCCUCAUGACUUAAUCACAUCCUAAAGGUCCCACCCCUUAAUACUAUCACAUUUGUGUUAAGUUUCAACAUUCAUAUAUUUAAACUUAUGACACAUAUUAUAUGUCAUAUAAUGUGUCAUAUUACAUAUUAUGUGUCAUAAUAUGGACACAUUCAGACCAUAGCAAAUAGUACUGUGCAUAUCAUGCAGUGGAUAUGCUAAGUUUUAGAGUCAACUUUGUAGAAAAUAACAUAUUGAUGACAAGUACUUUAAUAUAUUCUGGAGUAUCGGGGGAACCCGCCCCCAGUAUUUCAACAUAGGUUCCAUUUUCCAUAAGUGUCAGCCAGCUGAGAAACAAAGAGAGACAGUAUAAAGAGAGGAAUUUUACAGCUGGGCUGCCAGGAGUGACAUCACAUAUCGGUAGGACCGUGAUGCCUGCCUGAGUCUCAGACCAGCAAAGUUUUAUUAAGGGUUUCAAAAGGGGAGGGGGCGUAAGAACAGGGAGUAGGUACAAAUAUCGCAGGCUUCAAAGGGCAAAAAGCAGAACUACUAAUAAGGGUCUAACAAACAUCACAUGCUUCUGAGGGAGCAGGACAAAGGGCAAAAGCAGAACUACUGAUAAGGGUCCAACAAAGAUCACAGGGCAAAGGGCAAAAGCAGAACCACUGAUAAAGAUCUAUGUUCAGUGGUGCACAUAUUGUCUUGACAAACAUCUUAAAUAACAGAAAACAGGGUUCGAGAGCAGAGAACUGGUCUGACCACAAAUUUACCAGGGUGGAGUUUUUCCCCACCUUAGUAAGCCUGAGGGUACUGCAGGAGACCAGGGCGGGGGAUGUGAAAUAUCAAAUAUUUUUAAGAUAGCCAAUUAUCCUAUUUGGUUUAGAAUGUAGAAUUCUUUAAAAAGUAGGAGACGGGAACAGAUAGAAGUAGAAAAGUCAGCUGGGGCCAGAUGAUAGAAGGUUUCUCAUUCCAGUUUAAUUAACUUGAGUUUUAUUUGCAAGCUGUGAGAGCAUACAAUGUUUUGGCUCAUGGAAACAAACUGACCAAAGAGAUGGCAUUGAGGAUCAAUGAGACUCAUGAGUGGGAUGGUGGCGGAGAAACAGGGCACAGUGAGGGACCUGUGGAGAGGUCAGACAGGCUUGAGGUGGUGAGACUAUCAUCUCAAAAUGGGAAAAAGAAUCCCCUGGGAUGGA